GACGAACGCUGGCGGCGUGCCUAAUACAUGCAAGUCGAGCGCAGGAAAUCGACGGAACCCUUCGGGGGGAGGUCGAUGGAAUGAGCGGCGGAUGGGUGGGUAACACGUAAAGAACCUGCCCUCAGGUCUGGGAUAACCACGAGAAAUCGGGGCUAAUACCGGAUGGGUCAUCGGACCGCAUGGUCCGAGGAUGAAAGGCGCUUCGGCGUCGCCUGGGGAUGGCUUUGCGGUGCAUUAGCUAGUUGGGGGGGUAAUGGCCCACCAAGGGGACGAUGCAUAGCCGACCUGAGAGGGUGAUCGGCCACACUGGGACUGAGACACGGCCCAGACUCCUACGGGAGGCAGCAGUAGGGAAUCUUCCACAAUGGACGAAAGUCUGAUGGAGCAACGCCGCGUGAACGAUGAAGGCCUUCGGGUCGUAAAGUUCUGUUGUAAGGGAAGAACAAGUGCCGCAGGCAGUGGCGGCACCUUGACGGUACCUUGCGAGAAAGCCACGGCUAACUACGUGCCAGCCGCCGCCGUAA
rnacentral:rRNA from 1 species